AUACAAGAAAAUCAGUAUCUGAAGAAGAAAAAAAAAAUCUUGUGUAGCACUGGAUAGAGAAAGAAAGGGUUUUCUUUAUGCAGACACUUGUGACUGGUCCUACUUUCCCCAGCAAUGAAACUUCUGAGUUGCUUUCCUCCACCGAUGACAUAUAGAUUGGUGAAGAUCCACCCUCCCUAUCACAGCUGCAUUAAUAUGAACAAAAAGGGACGCUCUAGCAAACAAAGAGACGAAAAAGGAUGGAAUUUGCAUAGCCUCAUUAACUAAAUUUAAUUAUGCCAGGCAGAAUAUUAAUGGGUGGUUGUUCCAAUUAGUGUAUUCACUGUAAGGAAGGAGGACUCCAAAUUAAAGACAAGCGUAGAGGACAAUCGCAUACUGAUUAGGAAGCUGCAACGUGACACAAUACACUUUUACAAUAAUUAUUCCGCGGAAAAACAGAAAAAAAAGAAGGCAGAUUGCUCUGUUUUAAGACCAACUCAAGAACAAUUAGACAACAGUGUGAUGACAUAGCAGCUUUCUUUUCGUUUGUGAGUACUUGCACUUCUGUACUCACACAUCAUUCAUCUUGGCGCGCACUACAAAAUUAGCAUUUUUCUGUUCCCUGGGAAAAAAAAACUUAGACUGUCUUUGCUGUAUUUUUUCAAAGGAAGGCCAAAACCUCAUCAACAAUAGAGGAGAGAAAUCCUAUCUAACACACUGAUACAGGCACUGCAGAGUCUCUGAACUUGAGCCUGGGACUUUGCACAGACGCUGAACUUUAAAACACGUGCAUCGCAACAAUGAAGGAGGAGUUCAAAGGGGGAACUUACGGAAGAAUAAAAAAAAACAAUGUUAUCAUUGCCAACUUACCAUCCACCAUGUCCUGGCUGACAUAUCAUAACAUAGUUGCCAUUUUAUGGAACUGUCGGAUGUUUUCCCAGCCAUUAUGCUGUCAGCAACCUUCAUCAGAUGCAGCUCAAUGGGGAGAUAAGACACCUAAUCAGAAACCCAUCAGCAGUGGCUUGCUAGGCUACAUGUAGGCCAAUCCUUAUCAGACUGCAUCAUGGGAAAAGAUCCUUUAUUAACAAGAACUCCAACCUCAUUGAUAUAAAGACAAGGAUCUGUUUUUCCCCCCUUUUUUUUCUUGUCUGAAGGGAUUGGUGAAACUAUCGUGUGCUCUUUGUGUAUCAUAAGCACCAGAAUUAAGUAACUUGGAGGUGGGCGUCUGACUAAUUUGCCUGGCUAUGUAGACUAAAGUUUGCAUUCCCAUCUGUUGAAUAUUGUUUGACGUGGUCUUUACCGAGUAGAUCAAGAGGGGAAGUGGGUAUAAUAGGCAGAGGGGAGAGGGAAGAGGGUGCAUUCUAAGAGCUAUAAUUGUUCAGAAUUAAUAUCACCCCCUCCCCCUCUCAGAGACAUAACAAUUACUUUAUCUAAAAUGAGAUGUAGUUCAGAUGUCAAUGUUCCGUAUAGACACAAGCUCUUACAUACACACAGUAGAACACACAGGUAGUAGCUGCGGUUGGAUUCAAACUUGCCAAAGGCUACUGCUUAAAAAGUGUAGACAUAUGGAAACAAUUUAACUCUUUGUGAGGCUGACCUUAUUUUGUGAUGAAUACGGAAAACCCUGUGUGAAGAUUAGUUAUGCUUGACAAUAAAUAAAUAACAAUACAAAAUAAAAAUAUUAAUAAUAACACAGUUUAAGAAGUUGAUUCACUUAAUUUUACCCUGAAUGCCAACUGCCAGUGAUAACCAAAUAUAAAAAAGUAUGUAUUUUUUAAUGUAUGUUUUACAGUUUCUUUUAGCUGUAAAAAAAACCAAACGAAAAUCUUUGAUAUUGUUUGGCAUUAAAAUAUGGGGUUCUAAAU